rnacentral:ncRNA from 1 species
CCCGCUGAACUUAAGCAUAUCGUUAAGCGGAGGAAAAGAAACUAAAUAGGAUUUCCGUAGUAACUGCGAGUGAACUGGAAUUAGCCCAUCACGAAAUCUAUAUUACAUUCGUAAUAUCGAAAUGUCGUGUAUAGGUUUUAUUAUUAUUGAUAUAAUAUUAUUAAAUAAUUGUAUUUAAAUAUACAGCCACAGAAGGUGCCAGCCCUGUUGUUUAAUAAUAUUUAUCAAAUUUAUAAAACUUUAGAGUCGUGUUGCUUGGAAGUGCAGCGCAAAGUUGGUGAUAAACAUCAUCUAAGGCUAAAUAUUCCUAUGAAUCCGAUAGCGAACAAGUACUGUGAAGGAAAAUUGCAAAGUACUCCGGAGAGAGAGUUAAAGAGGACGUGAAACCGAUACGAUGGAAGCAUACAGAGCCAGUUGCACUAUUAUUAAUAUUUAUUAAUAAUUUUAAGCAUGGGUAUAUUGAUAUGAUAAUUAGUUAUUUAUUAAAGAGUGAUAAAAAUAUUUUAUUUUUGUUAACUUUAAUAAAAUAAUUAUAUUAUUAAUUAAUAUUUAUAUUAUCAAUUUAUUAAUAAUAUAAUAUUUUAUUAAUAUUAUAUAAGACACAUGUGUUAAAUAUAAUUUAUUAAUAAUUAUUAUAUUAUUAUAUAUUGAUAUUCCUAUGUAAUCCUGGUAUGCUGUAUGUCCCGUCUUGAAACACGGACCAAGGAGUGUAUUGCUAUGGCAAGUCAUUGAUAUUGUUAAUAUCAAAGGCGUAAUGAAAAUAAUUUUAAUCUCUGAUCUUUUGAUUUUAUUAUCAUUAGCGCAUGAGAAACGUAAAUAUAUGAUAUAAUCAUUUUUUGCAGUUAUAGCCAUAGUAGUGCGACCCGAAAGAUGGUGAACUAUACUAGUGCAGGGUGAAGUCAGAAGAAAUUCUGAUGGAAGCUCGAAGCGGUCCUGACGUGCAAAUCGGUCGUCUGACAUUAGUAUAGGGGCGAAAGACUAAUCGAACCAUCUAGUAGCUGGUUCCGGCCGAAGUUUCCCCCAGGAUAGCUGAAACUGAUAUACAGAUACAUCCGGUAAAGCUAAUGUUUAGAGGAAUAGGGAAUAAUAUAUUCUUUAUCUAUUUACAAACUAUAAAUGGGUGUGAUAUUAUGAUUGCUUAAUUGAAUCAUAAUUUCGAUUGUAUAGUUUCAAGUGGGCCAUUUUUGGUAAGCAGAACUGGCGACGUGGGAUGAACCAAAAGUAUUGUUAAAGUGCCUAAAUUUUUGCUCAUCAGACCCCAUAAAAAGUGUUGUUUGAUCCUGACAGCAGGGCGGUGGCCAUGGAAGUCGGAAUCCGCUAAGGAUCGUGUAACAACUCACCUGCCGAAUCAAGCAGCCUUGAAAAUGGAUGGCGCUUGAGCAAAAUACUUAGACAAUACCAUAUAUUUAUUUUUUUUUAAAAAAAAUAUAUGUGUAGGCUGGCGUGAUAAUAGCAUUGAAGGUUAUAAGCGUAAGCUUGACUGGAGCUGUUAUUAGUGCAGAUCUUGGUGAUAGUAGCAAAUACACAAGUGAGAAUCUUGUGGACCGAAGUGGAAAAGGGUUUCACGUCAACAUCAUUUGACUGUGAGUUAGUCGGUCCUAAGCUAAAAUUGAAAAAUUUUUAUUCAUAUAUAGCGAAAGGGAAAUAGAUUAAUAUUUCUAUACUAUCUAUGGAGAUAAUAUAGGAUAAUAACUAUAUUAUGCAUGGUAACAUAAAUGAAAUUAACUACAAUAUAACAAGUUUUGGGUAGAGAUAUCUUCUCUAUUUAAGUUAUUAAAUCUAUGGAAAUUGCUCAGCAAGAGAUAUAGAUGAAAUUUUAACGUAGAGUACUAACAUUUUGUUGGUAUCCAAAGUGCUUGUUAUAUUACUUAAAAAGUUAAUGGAAGCAUAAUAAAUUUCAUAGAAUAACCGUACCCAUAUCCGCAACAGGUUUCCAAGAUGUUUAGUCUCUGGUC